ACACGGAGGGCGCAAGCGUUGCUCGGAAUCACUGGGCGUAAAGCGGGUGUAGGCGGUCUAGCAAGUCAGACGUGAAAGCCCACGGCUCAACCGUGGAAGUGCAUCUGAAACUGCUAGACUUGAGUGCCGGAGAGGGAAGUGGAAUUCCUGGUGUAGGGGUGAAAUCCGUAGAUAUCAGGAGGAACACCGGUGGCGAAGGCGACUUCCUGGACGGCCACUGACGCUGAGACCCGAAAGCGUGGGGAGCAAACAGGAUUAGAAACCCUAGUAGUCC
rnacentral:rRNA from 1 species